UACGUAGGUGGCAAGCGUUGUCCGGAAUUAUUGGGCGUAAAGGGCGCGUAGGCGGCUUGGCAAGUGGAAGGUGAAAUCCCUCGGCUUAACCGAGGAACUGCCCUCCAAACUGCUUUGCUUGAGGCCGGGAGAGGUGAGUGGAAUUCCCAGUGUAGCGGUGAAAUGCGUAGAUAUUGGGAGGAACACCAGUGGCGAAGGCGGCUCACUGGACCGGUUCUGACGCUGAUGCGCGAAAGCGUGGGGAGCAAACGGG
rnacentral:rRNA from 1 species